rnacentral:misc_RNA from 1 species
AGCAGCCGCGGUAAUUCCAGCUCCAAUAGCGUAUAUUAAAGUUGUUGCAGUUAAAAAGCUCGUAGUUGAAUUUCGGGAUCAAUAUGUCGGUCGUGCCUUGGUACGUACUGGUAUCAUUGGUCUCUCCUUUCUGACGAACCAUGAUGUCAUUAAUUUGGUGUUAUGGGAAGUUAGGACUGUUACUUUGAAAAAUUAGAGUGUUUAAAGCAGGCUUUAGCUUGAAUACAUUAGCAUGGAAUAAUGAAAUAGGACGUUCGAACCUAUUUUGUUGGUUUCUAGGAUCAACGUAAUGAUUAAUAGGGAUAGUUGGGGGCAUUAGUAUUCAAUUGUCAGAGGUGAAAUUCUUGGAUUUAUUGAAAGACUAACUACUGCGAAAGCAUUUGCCAAGGAUGUUUUCAUUAAUCAAGAACGAAAGUUAGGGGAUCGAAGACGAUCAGAUACCGUCGUAGUCUUAACCAUAAACUAUGCCGACUAGGGAUCGGAUGAUGUUAAUUUUUAAUGACUCAUUCGGCGCCUUAAC